rnacentral:rRNA from 1 species
UACGAACUGUGCAAACGUUAUUCGGAAUCACUGGGCGUAAAGGGCACGUAGGCGGCUUGGCAAAUCGGUCGUGGAAUCCCGACGCUUACCGUCGGAACGGCGGCCGAAAAUACCGAGCUCGAGGGCGUGAGGGGUCACUGGAACUCCUGGUGAAGCGGUGAAAUGCGUAGAUAUCAGGAGGAACGCCGGAGGCGAAAGCGAGUGACUGGCGCGUUCCUGACGCUGAGGUGCGAAAGCUAGGGGAGCAAACAGG